rnacentral:lncRNA from 1 species
UUUUGGCCAUCUUGGUCGUUGCAUUGCAUCUGGUUUCGUUAUUAAUGCAGUCUGAAAUAUAGUUUGAUAGGAAUUCUGUAAGGUAUAGACACGUCGACUGGUAAUUUAAUAGGAAUGUACGUAAAUGUCGUUUUCUACGUCAAAAAUAUCUAGUGCUUACGUCCAUUAAUGUAAAUGUGUAUAUACCUAUAUGGAUAUGUAUAUGGUGAUAUUGUU